rnacentral:rRNA from 1 species
UGGGGAAUAUUGGACAAUGGGCGAAAGCCUGAUCCAGCCAUGCCGCGUGAGUGAUGAAGGCCCUAGGGUUGUAAAGCUCCUUUAACGGGGAAGAUAAUGACGGUACCCGUAGAAUAAGCCCCGGCUAACUUCGUGCCAGCAGCCGCGGUAAUACGAAGGGGGCUAGCGUUGCUCGGAAUCACUGGGCGUAAAGCGCACGUAGGCGGACUCUUAAGUCGGUGGUGAAAUCCUGGAGCUCAACUCCAGAACUGCCUUCGAUACUGGGAGUCUCGAGUUCGGGAGAGGUGAGUGGAACUGCGAGUGUAGAGGUGAAAUUCGUAGAUAUUCGCAAGAACACCAGUGGCGAAGGCGGCUCACUGGCCCGAUACUGACGCUGAGGUGCGAAAGCGUGGGGAGCAAA